CCUUCGAUAGCUCAGUUGGUAGAGCGGAGGACUGUAGUGGCGUGAAAUCAGCCAUCCUUAGGUCGCUGGUUCGAAUCCGGCUCGAAGGA
rnacentral:tRNA from 1 species